rnacentral:lncRNA from 1 species
AACACUCACACCUGCGUUAACGAGAGAAUCGCUGACAUGUCAGCUGAUCCUUUUGUGGCAGGGCUGAAAUGCAGUGGAAAUGUUUUUUGGGGAUUCAGUUCAUUUGCAUGGCACUUUGCAAUUAAUUGCAAUUCAUCUGAUCACUCUUCAUAACAUUCUGGAGUAUAUGCAAAUUGCCAUCAUUCAAAAUGAGGCAGCAGCCUUUGAAAAUUAAUAUUUGUGUCAUUCUCAAAACUUUUGGCCACAACUGUACAUUUGGAUACAUUUACAGAUUACUUUCAGUUCAGCUGAUGUUUUUUGUGAAGGGGAGGAUCUGCUGAUUGAGUGGAUUUUAACUUGGCAGCUGCAACACCACUUCUUUGCCAAUGCCCCUAUGCAGGAGCUUUUCCUUCGUGGCUUGUUAGUGAGGUGUUUGUUCUCUGCCUCUGCAGGAUGCAGUAACAUACAGAUUCUAUUACACACCUUACCAUCCACUCUGAUGCUGUUAGAAAUAAGCCAACAUUGAGUUUUCUUUAAGCCCCUUCAACUAGUUUUGACACGGACUCUAUUCAUUUAAUUUCCCACUGAUGUCAACAUGACAAACAAAUGAAAUAUGUCUAUUACAAGGGCAUCCUCUGCAGGGUCGGUGUGUAUUUAUUUCCCAUGUGACUGACUUACCAUACUGUCCACUACUUUCCUCAGCUCUCCAACAACAACCUGCCGUGGACCAGCAGAGGAAAUUCAACCCCUGCUGUUUACAGAGUCCACCCCCGCCCCCCCUAUUCCCUCCUCCUCCCUCACUGUGGCACCCCGGUGGUCAUAAUGAGGAGACCAGUAAGGGAGGUGAUCACAGACCAGAUCCAGAUACAGGGACGGAGCUGAAAGGGCCCAGCUGUGUCCCAGGACCCCCUGGCCCCAACGGACCCCCGGUCCUCAGGUAGGUAAACCUAUCCACCCCCAAAUGUCUCUGUUAAUGUUGUCAUCCCACUGGCUUCAUCAAUUCAAUAUAUCUUUUUUAAGCCCGAUAAUGGCCCAUACAGUUAUAAUACGGUUAUAAUGCAGAUAUUUGGAAGAGUAUUUCAUCAGGGUU